rnacentral:rRNA from 1 species
GACGAACGCUGGCGGCGUGCUUAACACAUGCAAGUCGAACGGAAAGGCCCUGCUUUUGUGGGGUGCUCGAGUGGCGAACGGGUGAGUAACACGUGAGUAACCUGCCCUUGACUUUGGGAUAACUUCAGGAAACUGGGGCUAAUAGCGGAUAGGCGCUGCUGCUGCAUGGUGGGGGUUGGAAUGUUUGGGCGGUUGGGGAUGGACUCGCGGCUUAUCAGCUGGUUGGUGGGGUAGUGGCUUACCAAGGCUUUGUGGGGUAGCCGGCCUGAGAGGGUGACCGGCCACAUUGCGACUGAGAUACGGCCCAGACUCCUACGGGAGGCAGCAGUAGGGAAUAUUGCACAAUGGGCGGAAGCCUGAUGCAGCAACGCCGCGUGCGGGAUGACAGCCUUCGGGUUGUAGACCGCUUUCGCCUGUGACGAAGCGUGAGUGACGGUAAUGGGUAAAGAAGCACCGGCUAACUACGUG